UCUCCGUUGGUGAACCAGCGGAGGGAUCAUUGCCGAGUGCAAACUCAUAACCCUUUGUGAACCUAUAUCUGUUGCUUCGGCGGCUCGCUCUCGGGCGAGCCCGCCGGUAAUAUCAGUAUCUCUGUUUGAACCCGACGAUACUUCUGAGUGUUCUUAGCGAACAGUUAAAACUUUUAACAACGGAUCUCUUGGCUCUA
rnacentral:misc_RNA from 1 species